AUUGAACGCUGGCGGCAGGCCUAACACAUGCAAGUCGAGCGAGUGGCGGACGGGUGAGUAAUGUCUGGGGCUCUGCCCGAUAGAGGGGGAUAACUACUGGAAACGGUAGCUAAUACCGCAUACUAUCGGAUGUACCCAGAUGGGAUUAGCUAGUAGGUGGGGUAACGGCGCACCUCGGCGACGAUCUCUAGCUGGUCUGAGAGGAUGAUCAGCCACACUGGAACUGAGACACGGCCCAGACUCCUACGGGAGGCAGCAGUGGGGAAUAUUGCACAAUGGGCGAAAGCCUGAUGCAGCCAUGCCGCGUGUAUGAAGAAGGCCUUAGGGUUGUAAAGUACUUUCAGCGGGGAGGCGUUACCCGCAGAAGAAGCACCGGCUAACUCCGUGCCAGCAGCCGCGGUAAUAC
rnacentral:rRNA from 1 species